rnacentral:lncRNA from 1 species
GCUUAUCUAACAAUGGUGAAAGAAAUUAACCCUAGAAAGUAGAAACAAAUUUCCACUACUGCCUGCCCGACUUAGACCCACCACCAAGCCACUGCCGCAACAUCCACCACCAUUGUUGCUUAAGCCCCCACAACCUCUCUUGCUUAACAACUUUGGCCUUUUUUCCUCUCUGUCUCGGUCUUUGUAGUUUAUUAUUAUAUAAUAAUAUCACAAAUAUAAAAAGGAUAUCUAAUAAUAAUGAUUCACCUCGCCAUCGCCGUUUCUUUUCUGCUUCAUCUCUCCAAUUAAUCUUAACAACAGU